AUGAAGAAAAAGAUACAACAGUUUGUACAAUCUUGUCUAAUUUGUCAGCAAGCAAAACCAGAAAGAGUAGCUUAUCCAGGACUGCUAUCCCCUCUACUUGUCCCUUCUAGGGCUUGGGAAACUGUCACUAUGGAUUUCAUAUCAGGGUUGCCCUCCUCUGACCAAUAUGACUGCAUUAUGGUGAUUAUAGGCAAGUUCACUAAAUAUGGGCAUUUCAUUCCUGUCAAGCAUCCAUAUACUGCCCAGAAGAUUUCUGAACUGUUUUUGGACAAUAUCUACAAACUCCAUGGCAUGCCUCGUUAUAUUGUGUCAGAUUGA
rnacentral:rRNA from 1 species